GACGAACGCUGGCGGCGUGCUUAACACAUGCAAGUCGAACGGAAAGGCCCUGCUUUUGUGGGGUGCUCGAGUGGCGAACGGGCGAGUAACACGUGAGUAACCUGCCCUUGACUUUGGGAUAACUUCAGGAAACUGGGGCUAAUACCGGAUAGGAGCUCCUGCUGCAUGGUGGGGGUUGGAAAGUUUCGGCGGUUGGGGAUGGACUCGCGGCUUAUCAGCUUGUUGGUGGGGUAGUGGCUUACCAAGGCUUUGACUGGUAGCCGGCCUGAGAGGGUGACCGGCCACAUUGGGACUGAGAUACGGCCCAGACUCCUACGGGAGGCAGCAGUGGGGAAUAUUGCACAAUGGGCGGAAGCCUGAUGCAGCAACGCCGCGUGCGGGAUGACGGCCUUCGGGUUGUAAACCGCUUUCGCCUGUGACGAAGCGUGAGUGACGGUAAUGGGUAAAGAAGCACCGGCUAACUACGUG
rnacentral:rRNA from 1 species